AUAGAAGAUUAAACCUUCUCUUUCAGGCCUAGGUUAAGCAACCAACCUUGUUUUUCAAACCCACUAGUAUUUGACUCCCCAUAUAACUGUGUUAUUCUGUGAUCCACAUAGGAUUUCCAUUUGCUGAGUGCAAGCAAUUGGCUAGCAUGUCUCUGCACCUACCUGAACAGCUAGUGGGAAUGCUUUGCAGGCCUGCCAGCCUCAGGAAAAUUCAGCAGCUGGAAGGGUGAAAUAUGGAACAUAAACAACCCAUAUUUAAACCCCUGGUAAGCUGCAAUAAUAAUUCUAAGUUUAGUGCAAUAGGAUCAGACCAUUUGCCUUAAAAAUACUACUGCUCAUGUCUGUUCAGCUGCCUACCUCCUCCACAGAUUUCAGCCAUCAGAUGUUAAGACUGAAACACAUCAGAGCUUGAAUGUUUAAACCUUAUCUGGAGAGAAUAAUUUAAUUUUUUAGGAUUUUGGUUUUUUUCCUGAAUAACAAAUAUGGGUCCAGUGCAGGUAGCAGGCCCUCAUGGUGCAUGCCCAGGUAUGAGCAAGGGGUUCCCUUUGCUUUUGGUGCAUCUUCUAACCUGUAGAAUAUAUGUCCUAGCUCGUGAAAUGUCAGGGAUUCACCACUUGUAGAGAUUUGGCACCAUGGAAUGAAGCUAGACACCAAAAACCUGACUACAGAAGGUGGGAAGCUUGUGCCAGUGAAGCCCCCAAGAGGCUGAAGUGGACAAUGCUGUUCUCCAACACAGAGAAAGGGAUGAACAGAUACUUUUAGGCAUCCAAUGCAGAAUAAUGGUUGCACUAAGUCAUAGUUGCAACUGAAGGGUUUUAUUCUCAGAAGAUUAAAGGUAACGUUCUAUAUUAUGACUCUCAUAGCUGAAAAUUUAUUACAAUCAAUAAAUCGUGUGAUAUAAAAUUUCUAAUACAGCUUAACUUAAAAUUUUUCAUCACCUAGAUCCUAAUUUAACUUGUAAUUUAUAUUCACUUGGACUCUCUGCAGAGAAUUUCCUGAAAAGCUGUGGAGAAGAGAGAUGUAAACUCCCAGCUGGAGCUGUCGUGUCUUUCUCCAUUCCCUACUACCUCAAAACAACAUGUGCCCAGUUUCCACGAUCUAUCUGUAGUCCAUCCUCUGCAACCCAUUUGAGAACCUAAAAUUCACAUCCUAAAAUUCCUUUUGGAAUCUGGAACCAGCAAGAAUGGCUGUAGGGAAAUAGUGGUUAGCUCUUAAAGCUAGAACUUCCCUCUCUUAAACAGCUGCAACUGGAGUAUUCAGACCAUGGGCAGAUGGAGGAGUGGGCAGCUGUGUGUUACAAUCCAGAGAGUACUCACCUCUGCAGAUGACAAUGGUUGCUUGCUGUUAGGAAGUCAGUAAUGCAUUUUAAGUGGCUUUUAGUGGAAGCUUUCUUGGUUUGUAUCUGCCACUAUUAAAAAAGGACUUUGUUCACGAUAGUCCUCUUGGUGUUGCCUUUUUAACCCACAAGUGUGCUUCACCAUUUUGUAGGGCUGUUCUAGAAGCAGAUCUAGAGCUCUGAUGAGUGCUCACAUUUUAUUGAUUACUACCUUAAAAAACUUACACAGCUGAGGGGAUAUUCCACCUUAACAAAACCCCAAAAUACCUUUGAGGGGAAAUUCCACCUUAAGAAAACCCCAAAACACGUUUAUAAGAAAGUUUGGGGCAGAAAUGCAAAGGAACAGAUGCAGAACUGUAGAAUAAAGUUUGACAAGCAGUAGGAACGAUUCAAGUGGAAUGAUCUAUGUUAGUGAUGUUAAAUUUCCUCCUUUGGCCCCACUCACUCAUUCCUACAAAGCAUGUCUGACUAAUGUUCUGUCCUUGUGAACACUCUAUGAUCACAUUACAGAGUUUGCAUCAUUUGCAAAAAUGUGUACUCAGAGAACUCUCUCCAGCAGAAAUAGUGAAGAGUUCCAGAAACUUAAAGUUAUUCUGAGUGUUAUUUUUAUGGACAACUAAUGUGAAACAGAUUUGAAAAUGAAGCCAUUUUAAAAAAACCUUUAAAAAUAUUCAAUUUUUGUAGAAUGCCCCUGUUCCUAAGAGACAGAUCUUACCUCUCUUAUGUGGCUAAUAACAUGUCCCUUGACCCAAGCCCUGACCCCACCCCUAUGAUACCCUAUAAAAACCCCACAAUCCUGCCUUUGCCCAGUCUUUCCUCUCCAUCCCAUCCCUCCUCCCCAGGGGCAAUAAACUGAUUCUCGAGCUUUCUGAAAUGAAAAUCUGUCUCGUUUGUUCCCAUGCCCAGUGCCAGCAGCUGCACCCUCCCUGGACAAAAGGAACCCGGUUGCAAAUCAAUGCAACCCAGUUGCAAAAACUUUCUCCCAAAUGGAAAACAUAUUUCCCUUCAAACUACUAAUUCUCAAAAACAUAUUUUGAAGUUUAUUUCCAACCUUUCUUGUGGAAAUGCAUCUUGGGUAAGAGACUGCACAUGAGACUCAAGAACAAGGGGAGUGUAGUCAAGAUCAGGCUUGUCAUGAAAAAUAAUUACUAAUCUCCAAGAUGUUGACUGUAGAAUUUUCAUUGCAGCUUUGGACUCCAUGGAGCUGUGCUUUCCUUCUGGUUUUGUAAAUGUCUGGCUUUAAUAAUAAUUGAUAUUUUAAAAAUAAAGGCAGAAUCAUAGAGAUGCAA